UGGGGAAUAUUGCACAAUGGGCGAAAGCCUGAUGCAGCGACGCCGCGUGAGGGAUGACGGCCUUCGGGUUGUAAACCUCUUUCAGCAGGGACGAAGCGCAAGUGACGGUACCUGCAGAAGAAGCACCGGCUAACUACGUGCCAGCAGCCGCGGUAAUACGUAGGGUGCAAGCGUUGUCCGGAAUUACUGGGCGUAAAGAGUUCGUAGGCGGUUUGUCGCGUCGUUUGUGAAAACCAGCAGCUCAACUGCUGGCUUGCAGGCGAUACGGGCAGACUUGAGUACUGCAGGGGAGACUGGAAUUCCUGGUGUAGCGGUGAAAUGCGCAAAUAUCAGGAGGAACACCGGUGGCGAAGGCGGGUCUCUGGGCAGUAACUGACGCUGAGGAACGAAAGCGUGGGUAGCGAACAGG
rnacentral:rRNA from 1 species